UUCCGGUUGAUCCUGCCGGACCUGACUGCUAUCGGAUUGAUACUAAGCCAUGCGAGUCAUUGUAGCAAUACAAGGCAGACGGCUCAGUAACGCGUAGUCAACCUACCCUAUGGACGGGGAUAACCUCGGGAAACUGAGAAUAAUACCCGAUAGAACAUUAUACCUGGAAUGGUUUAUGUUUCAAAUAAUUUAUUGCCGUAGGAUGGGACUGCGGCCUAUCAGUUUGUUGAUGAGGUAAUGGCCCACCAAGACUAUUACAGGUACGGGCUCUGAGAGGAGUAGCCCGGAGAUGGGUACUGAGACACGGACCCAGGCCCUAUGGGGCGCAGCAGGCGAGAAAACUUUGCAAUGUGCGAAAGCACGACAAGGUUAAUCCGAGUGGUUUCUGCUAAAGGAACCUUUUGUUAGUCAUAGAACCACUAAUGAAUAAGGGGUGGGCAAGUUCUGGUGUCAGCCGCCGCGGUAAAACCAGCACCUCAAGUGGUCAGGAUGAUUAUUGGGCCUAAAGCAUCCGUAGCCUGCUUUGUUAGUUUUCGGUUAAAUCCAUACGCUCAACGUAUGGGCUGCCGGGAAUACUGCAAAGCUAGGGAGUGGGAGAGGUAGACGGUACUCGGUAGGAAGGGGUAAAAUCCUUUGAUCUAUUGAUGACCACCUGUGGCGAAGGCGGUCUACCAGAACACGUCCGACGGUGAGGGAUGAAAGCUGGGGGAGCAAACCGGAUUAGAUACCCGGGUAGUCCCAGCUGUAAACUAUGCAAACUCGGUGAUGCAUUGGCUUGAUGCCAAUGCAGUGCCGCAGGAAGCCGUUAAGUUUGCCGCCUGGGAAGUACGUACGCAAGUAUGAAACUUAAAGGAAUUGGCGGGGGAGCACCACAAGGGGUGAAGCCUGCGGUUCAAUUGGAGUCAACGCCGGAA
rnacentral:rRNA from 1 species